UCUAUCUGUCUUGACCAAAUCACGUGCCAGCAGUCGCGGUAAUACGUGGGAGACUAGUGUUAUUCAUCUUUAAUUGGUUUAAAGGGUACUUAGACGGUUUACUAAGCCCCUAAAGGGUACUAAUAAACUAGAGUUUUAUGAGAGGGGGGGAGUACUAAAGAGUGUAGAGAUGAAAUUCUGUCAUACCUGACUUGGAACAGGCAACAGCUAAAGCAACCCCUUAUGUAAAAACUGACGUUGAAAGACGAAGGCUUGGGACACCAACAGGAUUAGAUACCCCAGCAGUCCUUGCAGACAAUGAUGAAUGUCAUAGAUUGGAAUUAUAAAAUAUCUUUUUCUAGAUAUAUAUAAAUAUAGAAGAGAUGUUUUUUUUGUCUAUAAAUGAAAGUGUAAGCAUUCCACCUCAAGAGUAAUGUGGCAACGCANAAACUGAAAUCAUUAGACCGUUUCUGAAACCAGUAGUGAAGUAUGUUGUUUAAUUUGUUGAUCCGCAAAACACCUUACCACAAUUUGAAUAUAACUAUAUACAAGCGCUGCACGGCUGUCUUCAGUUAAUGUCGUGAGAUUUUGGUUAGUUCCAUAAAAUUAACGUAAACCCUUGCUUUAUUUUUCAUCAUAAAGUAGUUCACCGCUAUAUUGGAUUUGAUAAAAGGGAAUAAGACAAGUCAAUAUGGCCUUAAUAUUGUGGCUAU
rnacentral:rRNA from 1 species